UUCGCAAUGCCCGAAAGGGCGACUAUGCGACGCCGCGUGCGCGAUGAAGGUUUUCGGAUUGUAAAGCACUGUCAGCUGGGAGGAAUCUCUGGAGGCUUAAUAAGCUUGCAGGGUGACAGUACCAGCAGAGGAAGCCACGGCUAACUCCGUGCCAGCAGCCGCGGUAAUACGGAGGUGGCAGGCGUUACUCGGAUUGAUUGGGUGUAAAGGGCGUGUAGGCGGUGCGCUAAGUCGAAUGUGAAAUCCCCCGGCUCAACCGGGGAACCGGCGGGGAUACGACCGGCCUGGAGGGACGUAGGGGGACCUGGAACUUCCGGUGGAGCGGUGAAAUGCGUUGAGAUCGGAAGGAACACCAGCGGCGAAAGCGAGGUCCUGGACGUCUGCUGACGCUGAGACGCGAAAGCCAGGGGAGCGAACGGGAUUAGAUACCCCGGUAGUCCUGGCCGUAAACGAUGGGCACUAAGUAGAGGGGUUUU
rnacentral:rRNA from 1 species